UCCCCAAUAAAAAUGCAUAAAUUUAAAAAUAGCACCUUCUUCCUCAUUUUCGUCGCCAAUCUUAUUCCCUCACCAAAAAACACGCACAAACACACACUGAGAAGGGUUUUGCUUUCUGUAAGUUCUGACAGUUAAUGAAAAUGGCGAAUUCGCUGCAAGCAUCGACUCGGCCGUGAAUUCUGGAAGUCGUACCUCUUGCGGUCGUUAUUCUCGUUGUUGCCCAUGUCCUUGCUUUGGUUAGAACCCACCUCAAAUUCAAAUCUUUUUUUAUCUAGCAAAAUGAUUCAUUAAAUUGAAGUCUCCAUUUUAUGUGUUUAUCUGUGUGCGUACAGGUUUACUGGAUUUACAAGCUAGCAACUGAGAAGCAGCCAACGAGAAGGAAAACGCACUAACCGAGUUCAUCAUUUUUUAGUAAUAAAAAGGUAAAAAUCCUAGAUUAAUUAAUUUUACUUUUUGAUUGCUACCCUCUGAUUUUCAAUUUUCUCAAUUAAUGUGAAUUAUGAAACUUUAGCUAUAUAUGCCUACCUUGAAUUUAAAUAUUACUGUUAAUUGGUUUGCCCUUUUACUUGCUUCUUGUUUGUUUGUGCUCUAUGAUUAGCUCAAAAUAUAUUUUUGAUAAUUCUAUCGAAGAUUGUUUGUUUUUUGGUUUUGUUUUCAUGAAGGAUCAUAAAUAAAUUAGUUGGAAAAUGGAUUCGAGAAUGUUGGAUCAAUUAAUGUUGGCAUAAUUAUUUAGUGUUUCUGGGCAGGGUCUGGUUCCGAAUAAUACGAAUAAAACCAAGAAUUACAGGGUAAAUGGAACCUUUGUGUCCAACUUUAUUUAUGGAACUGAACUGAAUCAUAAUAAAUUUUUUUCAAUGCUAUAAACAACAUAUUAUUAAUCUAACAAAAAAUAGGUUUCUUACAAAAUAAAAAAGAUAGUCCAAAUUGUAAAAUAGAACUAACUAGCUGUCUAAUAAAAUUCAUUCACAAUUUAUACAAAUGACCAAAAAGAAAAUAAUAUAAUACUAAAACAGGUGGAUUUCCUUUCCAUCCCUUUGAUUUCUUCACUCCAGGCCAUCAAAUCCACAUAAAAAAUGAAAAAUGAAAUACUAAUUAAAAGUAAUAGAAAUAAAAUAUUUUUGUGUGAUAUUACUAGUACAUAUGACCUUCAACCAUUUAAUCAUCAAAUGCUUGGCUUGUCACAUUUAAGAAACUCUACAAGAUAUAAUUGAAAAAGUACAAUUAAAACAAGAGUAAUGCAAUUUUGUCCCACUGGAGAUGCAACCUCAAUUUAGGUGGCGCUAAUGUGGCAUUAAUUGAUAGGUAGAAUUAAAUGACUAAUUUAAUUUACCUUUUAUUUAACUAAUCACCCAUUGCCACUUAAACCAGGGUUGCAACCACAGUGGGGCUACAUAGCAUUAUUCUUAAAGCAAACAUAAAUAAAUUAAAACUUGUACAAAUAAUAAGAUUUAAAAUGGAUAAUUAUAAUAUAUCUUUUAUUACCUGUCUCAAUUUGCUCAUAGAACUCCAUUUCUUCAAUGAAAACUCUAUCUUGGGGAACUCUCAAAAUUAUGGAUUCUUCCCAUAGCAAGUUUUAUGUACAAAUUAAGGCCUCAAUACUAGUACUGCCCAAAUUCAAGUAAGAAUCCCUGCCCCUACACCUCGAAGGCUUUGAUCAUGGAUAUUGCAAGACGUGUUCGGUUUAAACUAGGGGCAACUUGAUCCUUUACUGCCUCGCCACCUACCUUAAAUUACAUGGUGAGUUUCUUUCUUCCAAUUGAUGUGCAUCCUGCCUAAGGUUUCUGUCAAUUGCAACCCCGCCUGGGGCUGACGAGCUCGUGUGGAUAAAAUCAUCAAUUAUUUCAUUGUUUUGCAGUGACAAGACAACCCCAUUACAUAUCCCUUCUCCCCUAACAUCCAAACCUGUGCCCAUUAGGACUUCAUACCCUACACUGUCAACACGAGGAAGACCGUUUGCCGCAUCAUUUCCACCAAAAUGAAUUUAUGAGUGGAUCCACAAUCAUUUGACAUCACCAUCUCAUGUGCAAUCAUCCUUUGACGUUCAUAUUCUUUGGGGGGAAUCAAGCCCAUCUUGGAAUCAGGGGGUAGUUCCACCUAGUCCCCAUAAUUUUCAUUUCUUCCUCAUCGAUUGCCUCUUAAUUACCGUUGCACCUAAUUUCUCUCCACAGAUAUUUAAGAUGUGAAGCUUCUUCUGUUUACAUUUGUGCCCUAUCAAGUAUUUCUCAUCACAUCUUAAGUAGAGGCCACCCUUUUCCCACUUUGCUUGAAGUUGUGCAUCAUUUGUAGGGUCAUGGAAAUUUUGGGAUUGUCGAUGUCUUUGGUGGAAUUGGAGAUAUGGGUUUUUGGGAUUCUCACCAUCAAACACCGCCAUGUUUGAUUUCCAUGGCCUUUGCUGUUGACAAUUUUUUUCUGCAUCUGUGCAUAUUUACUCCACAGCAACCAAGUCCCACACACCGCCUGCUUCUUGCCCCUGCAAACAUAGGUGGAUUAGAGGUCUAACAAAGUCCCAUACCUUCAAAGUCGUGAAACAAGGGAUGGCCACUAAAAGCCUGAAACUGUCUUAUUACAUUCUGAUUGAGGGAGUUUGUGAACACUACCAAAAACAGUGUGUUCAGCGUUAACGAACUUGUCAUGGUCCAACGACUUUCCUCUCAUUGAAACCACGCCAAGGCCUCUCUGUCAAAACAUACAGCCUAUGCCUCGAGCUUUUCCUCAUUCUACAUCGAGUGCACAACAAAGAAACACUCAUCUCUAAAUAUCUAACUAUCGGGAUUCUCACCAUCAAACCCUUGUUUCACAACUUCAAUUUCCUUGGCCUUUGAUGGUGACAAUUUUUCCCUGCAUCUGUACGUCAUAGCAACCAAGUCCCACACACUUCCUGAAACUGUUAGAGGUCUAUCAAAGUCCCAUACUUCAAAGUUGUGAAAAAAGGGUGGGCUACUAAAAGCCUGAAACUGCUUUGUUACAUUUUGAUUGAGGAAUUUUGUGAACACUACUAAAAACACAUACCACUUAAAAGUAUCCUUGUUCCAUUUGUUGGUCUUGUGUUGCCAAAGUUUUUGACAACCGGUGCUAGUAUAUAGAUUCGAGAAUUAACAUCUUGCUUAAUCUAUUUUACGCUCUUUAUAUCAGUUAUAUUAAUUUUUCUUUAGCUAGGUAUCCUUUUCUCAGUAGCUUAUGUUCAUCUUCUUGGUGAUGCAAAUGAUUCCAGUUACUGGAGGAAAUAGGACACAAGACAGUUCUUCCUUCUGUGUUGAGACCUAUCAUUCAAAUAGAUGGGUAAAUUAGAAUGAUAUAUAGUAAGUAAGAGCUGAUUUGAUCUUAAGAUCUGUUUUUUUUUCCAAUUUCUCUUCUUUUUGAAUUAAGUAUCCAAAUGUUUAGGACCUACAGUGUUAGUCAGGUCUGCCAUUGCUUUGGAGAAAGACAAUAUUCGUAGAGUUGAGUAUUGUAAUGGAGCCUGACUACCAUUCAUUGUUGGAUUUUUAUACAGUAAAUAUAUUAUGUGAAAAAAUAACUAAGUAGAUCAAGUGCCCAAUUGGUAAAAAGUGUGGAAUUUGUGUGGGAGGUCGGGGGGUUAUUUUCCAACAUUCAUAUCCAAAGAUAGUUAAGUUAGGUGGUUUGUAUCCUUCUAACAAUCUAAUGUUCGAUUAUUUUGUGGACGCGGUUAUGUAACUGAAGAUCUAUCUUUCUCUGUCUCAGGGGAUCCCUUUUUGAAAUUAUUCAAUGAUAUGGAUUCAUGCAAUGCCAUACUGAAGGAGGUUACCAAAGUUAUCAUAUACCUUUUUGUUGCUGUGGUUACCUUUUGAGCUCCAUCACUGUUUUUUAGAGGGUUCAUGUAGAAUUUGUUGAUAAAUGUCAACCACAUGAUGUCUUCCUCAUAAUUUUCUUAAUGAUUAUAACAGUCCUGUGCUUGUUAACUCUCGAUGUGUAAUUCUACGUAAAACCAUUCUUUCUGAAGGGAUACUGGAAAAUGAAGUCCCAAUUUUAGCUGCUCAUGAGUUUCCCGUGCUUUAGUUGACUUGAUCGUUAAGUUGCACGACCCAUUUCUCCAUGCAUUCUUGGCAGAGGCAAUUCAAGCAAUUUGGGCCUUAGGCAAAAUGAUAAAUGAG
rnacentral:lncRNA from 1 species